CAGGGUUAUAGUAUGGAGCUGGCCCCCUGUUCCCUACUGUUCCACAGGGUUAUAGUAUGGAGCUGGUCCCCUGUUCCCUACUGUUCCACAGGGUUAUAGUAUGGAGCUGGUCCCCUGUUCCACAGGGUUAUAGUAUGGAGCUGGCCCCCUGUUCCACAGGGUUAUAGUAUGGAGCUGGCCCCCUGUUCCACAGGGUUAUAGUAUGGAGCUGGUCCCCUGUUCCACAGGGUUGUAGUAUGGAGCUGGCCCCCUGUUCCACAGGGUUAUAGUAUGGAGCUGGAUGUAUCCUACUGCGUUGUCAUUAUGUUGUAUUUGUAGCAGGAAGUGACUGUACAGUUGUUGUCCAGCUGACUCAGGAAGUGACUGUACAGUUGUAGUCCAGCUGACUCAGGAAGUGACUGUGCAGUUGUAGUCCAGCUGACUCAGGAAGUGACUGUACGGUUGUAGUCUAGCUGACUCAGGAAGUGACUGUAUUGUCCAUCAGGUUAAAGUGUGAGGGUCAAUCGAACCUCUGCAGUCAUAGGUCUCCAACCGUUUAGUGAACCGAUGUUGCACAUUGCAUUUGUUUUCACAGGUCAUGUGUCUGAUGACUAGCCGUGCGAUACAUUCUUCUAGCCCCUGUUCUAUCAAACUCUGUACAGCAGGGUAAUGAUUUGGGUAGACAUUUCCUGUUUGUUAAAGACUGUGGAGAGUUUGUCCAGGUGAUUAAUACAGUGAACAGGAGAGGAUGUCCAGGUGGUUAAUACAGUGAACAGGAGAGGAUGUCCAGGUGGUUAAUACAGUGAACAGGAGAGGAUGUCCAGGUGGUUAAUACAGUGAACAGGAGAGGAUGUCCAGGUGGUUAAUACAGUGAACAGGAGAGGAUGUCCAGGUGGUUAAUACAGUGAACAGGAGAGGAUGUCCAGGUGGUUAAUACAGUGAACAGGAGAGGAUGUCCAGGUGGUUAAUACAGUGAACAGGAGAGGAUGUCCAGGUGGUUAAUACAGUGAACAGGAGAGGAUGUCCAGGUGGUUAAUACAGUGAACAGGAGAGGAUGUCCAGGUGGUUAAUACAGUGAACAGGAGAGGAUGUCCAGGUGGUUAAUACAGUGAACAGGAGAGGAUGUCCAGGUGGUUAAUACAGUGAACAGGAGAGGAUGUCCAGGUGAUUAAUACAGUGAACAGGAGAGGAUGUCCAGGUGGUUAAUGCAGUGAACAGGAGAGGAUGUCCAGGUGGUUAAUACAGUGAACAGGAGAGGAUGUCCAGGUGGUUUAUACAGUGAACAGGAGAGGAUGUCCAGGUGGUUAAUACAGUGAACAGGAGAGGAUGUCCAGGUGGUUAAUACAGUGAACAGGAGAGGAUGUCCAGGUGGUUAAUACAGUGAACAGGAGAUGAUGUCCAGGUGGUUAAUACAGUGAACAGGAGAGGAUGUCCAGGUGGUUAAUACAGUGAACAGGAGAGGAUGUCCAGGUGGUUAAUACAGUGAACAGGAGAGGAUGUCCAGGUGGUUAAUACAGUGAACAGGAGAGGAUGUCCAGGUGGUUAAUACAGUGAACAGGAGAGGAUGUCCAGGUGGUUAAUACAGUGAACAGGAGAGGAUGUCCAGGUGGUUAAUACAGUGAACAGGAGAGGAUGUCCAGGUGGUUAAUACAGUGAACAGGAGAGGAUGUCCAGGUGGUUUAUACAGUGAACAGGAGAGGAUGUCCAGGUGGUUUAUACAGUGAACAGGAGAGGAUGUCCAGGUGGUUAAUACAGUGAACAGGAGAGGAUGUCCAGGUGGUUAAUACAGUGAACAGGAGAGGAUGUCCAGGGGGUUAAUACAGUGAACAGGAGAGGAUGUCCAGGUGGUUAAUACAGUGAACAGGAGAGGAUGUCCAGGUGGUUAAUACAGUGAACAGGAGAGGAUGUCCAGGUGGUUAAUACAGUGAACAGGAGAGGAUGUCCAGGUGGUUAAUACAGUGAACAGGAGAGGAUGUCCAGGUGGUUAAUACAGUGAACAGGAGAGGAUGUUUUUAAGUAAAGAGAGAUAUGUGGUUCACCCUGAAAGACUGCCUCUUUAUCUAGGUCAGCAACACCUGCCUGUACUGGA